UACGGGGGGGGCAAGCGUUGUUCGGAAUUACUGGGCGUAAAGCGCACGUAGGCGGUUAUUUAAGUCAGGGGUGAAAUCCCGGGGCUCAACCCCGGAACUGCCUUUGAUACUGGGUAUCUCGAGUCCGAGAGAGGUGAGUGGAAUUCCGAGUGUAGAGGUGAAAUUCGUAGAUAUUCGGAGGAACACCAGUGGCGAAGGCGGCUCACUGGCUCGGUACUGACGCUGAGACGCGAAAGCGUGGGGAGCAAACAGG
rnacentral:rRNA from 1 species